rnacentral:lncRNA from 1 species
UUUUUUAGCAAUGUCAUAAGGAAGGAAAGAAGGAAGCAGAAAGCAGGACAUCAGUUCACUUUAUGAGUGGUUUAAACUUGAAUAAAAUACUAAUGCUGGAGGCCUGAGUUUUCUUUCUUUGGGAUGUGAGGAAAUUGCCCACAUCUACUCCCACCCUUCCAAAACAAAUAUGUCAUUGUGGCUCAGUGGCUUAUCCCAGGUCACCUAGCAAUUCUUUAUCAGGGACAUGAAAAGUUCCAGCCAUAGGAUGUCCUAAUUUUGUGACUCGUCCAUCAGAAUCAAUCAGUGUUUCCAGGUUGGCUGGCUGUGGACAGGCAUGGGGAAUUUUUAGUGCUGCCAUUUGCUUUUCUCCUCCUCUCACCUCUCCAGCCAAAAGUUGUCAUUCCAGGCCUGACCCGCCCUCCUCUAUUCCUCCUUCCAUCCUGGGCCUGCCUACAAUAGGGCCUCCUCCCCCCAGGAGAUUCUGGUUUUGAUGACUUCCACAGGCUGCUGUAGGUCUGGAGGGUCCAUCUUUAACACCAGUACCUCGACUUCAGGUGAUCUCUUCAUCAUGUUAACCAAUGCCCACCAAGAUGGGCACACUUAGUGAGACCACUCACAAUGACCUGGUAGGAAACUGACCACUCUAGCUAUAAACAGGGUCCUUGAGCCAAACUCCCCAGGGUCCUUUUUUUCAUUUUGAUUUUUAAGACCUAGGUUGUCAUGUAAAUCCAUUGUCUCAGCCCGUGUCCCUCUCAGUGGAGGCAGGCAGGGACAG